UACCAGACUCCUACGGGAGGCAGCAGUGGGGAAUCUUCCGCAAUGGGCGAAAGCCUGACGGAGCAACGCCGCGUGAUCGAAUGAAGGCCUUCGGGUUGUAAAGAUCUGUUGACAGGGACGAAUAAGCAAUGCGAAUAGUUUUGUGUAUGACGGUACCUGUUUAGAAAGCUCCGGCUAACUACGUGCCAGCAGCCGCGGUAAUACGUAGGGAGCAAGCGUUGUCCGGAAUUACUGGGCGUAAAGGGCGCGUAGGUGGGCGCUUAAGUCAGGUGUGAAAAAUCCGGGCGCAACCGGGAGACUGCACUUGAAACUGGGUGUCUUGAGGGCAGGAGAGGAAAGUGGAAUUCCUAGUGUAGCGGUGAAAUGCGUAGAUAUUAGGAGGAACACCAGUGGCGAAGGCGGCCUGCUGGGCUUUUACUGACGCUGAGGCUCGAAAGUGUGGGGAGCAAACAGGAUUAGAUACCCCAGUAAUU
rnacentral:rRNA from 1 species